CACAUAAAUACCAUCAAAAAUGAACUAAGCACCACGGGAGGUGGCUUCCCUCCCAUCACUCCAACAAACGGAUAAAAGAGUCUAAAAAAACCCUUUGGGGGUCUAACAUAGUUUUGUAAGUCCAUUGGUCAAUAUGCACCUGCGGUUCAAUCUAUAAGUUCAUGGGGUCUUUUAGGGUAUAUUUCAUUAAAGAAAAAUAUAAGCACCACCGAAAACGGACUUAGCACCACGGGAGGUGGCUUCCCUCCCAUUAGUCCAACAGACAAGAAUAUUAGUGUAUAACACUCUUUGUGAGUCCUAGUUGGCUUGUAAGGCUCAUUGGUCCAGAUGCACCUUGGGUCCAAUCUACAAGUCCAUAGGGUCCUUUAGCGUAUAUAUAAUUAAGAAAAAUAUAAGCACCACCG
rnacentral:lncRNA from 1 species